GGUGACGUGGCCGAGGGGUUAGGCAAGGCUCUGCAAAAGCCUCUACAGCAGUUCAAGUCUGCUCGUCACCUCCA
rnacentral:tRNA from 1 species